AUUGAACGCUGGCGGCAUGCUUUACACAUGCAAGUCGAACGGCAGCGCGGGCUUCGGCCUGGCGGCGAGUGGCGAACGGGUGAGUAAUGCAUCGGAACGUGCCCAGCAGUGGGGGAUAGCCCGGCGGAAGCCGGAUUAAUACCGCAUACGACCUGAUGGUGAAAGCGGGGGACCGAAAGGCCUCGCGCUAUUGGAUCGGCCGAUGUCGGAUUAGCUAGUUGGUGGGGUAAAGGCUUACCAAGGCGACGAUCCGUAGCUGGUCUGAGAGGACGACCAGCCACACUGGAACUGAGACACGGCCCAGACUCCUACGGGAGGCAGCAGUGGGGAAUUUUGGACAAUGGGGGCAACCCUGAUCCAGCCAUGCCGCGUGCGGGAAGAAGGCCUUCGGGUUGUAAAACGCUUUUGUUCGGGAAGAAAUCCUCUGGGCUAAUACCCCGGGGGGAUGACGGUACCGGAAGAAUAAGCACCGGCUAACUACGUG
rnacentral:rRNA from 1 species